rnacentral:rRNA from 1 species
UACGAAGGGGGCUAGCGUUGUCCGGAAUCACUGGGCGUAAAGGGCGCGUAGGCGGCCUGAUAAGUAGGGGGUGAAAUCCUGCGGCUUAACCGCAGGGCUGCCUUCUAAACUGUCAGGCUAGAGCACAGUAGAGGCAGGUGGAAUUCCCGGUGUAGCGGUGGAAUGCGUAGAGAUCGGGAAGAACAUCAGUGGCGAAGGCGGCCUGCUGGGCUGUUGCUGACGCUGAGGCGCGACAGCGUGGGGGAGCAAACAGG